rnacentral:rRNA from 1 species
CCAAUAGCGUAUAUUAAAGUUGUUGCAGUUAAAAAGCUCGUAGUUGAAUUUCGGAAUCAAUGGAUCGGUCAUGCCACUCGGUGUGUACUGGUUUGAUUGGUUCUCACCUUCUAAGGAACCGUGAUGUCAUUAAUUUGGUGUCGCGGGGAAUUAGGACUGUUACCUUGAAAAAAUUAGAGUGUUUAAAGCAAGCUCACGCUUGAAUACAUUAGCAUGGAAUAAUGAAAUAGGACAUUGUAUUCUAUUUUGUUGGUUUCUAGGAUCGAUGUAAUGAUUAAUAGGGGUAGUUGGGGGCAUUAGUAUUCAAUUGUCAGAGGUGAAAUUCUUGGAUUUAUUGAAGACUAACUACUGCGAAAGCAUUUGCCAAGGAUGUUUUCAUUAAUCAAGAACGAAAGUUAGGGGAUCGAAGACGAUCAGAUACCGUCGUAGUCUUAACCAUAAACUAUGCCGACUAGGGAUCGGAUGAUGUUAAUUUUUUAAUGACUCAUUCGGCACCUUACG